rnacentral:rRNA from 1 species
UACGUAGGGUGCAAGCGUUAAUCGGAAUUACUGGGCGUAAAGCGUGCGCAGGCGGUUUUGUAAGUCUGACGUGAAAUCCCCGGGCUCAACCUGGGAAUUGCGUUGGAGACUGCAAGGCUAGAAUCUGGCAGAGGGGGGUAGAAUUCCACGUGUAGCAGUGAAAUGCGUAGAUAUGUGGAGGAACACCGAUGGCGAAGGCAGCCCCCUGGGUCAAGAUUGACGCUCAUGGCA